rnacentral:rRNA from 1 species
GACGAACGCUGGCGGCGUGCCUAAUACAUGCAAGUCGAACGAGUGGCGGACGGGUGAGUAAUGUCUGGGACACUGCCAUAUGGAGGGGGAUAACUACUGGAAACGGUAGCUAAUACCGCAUACCAUCGGAUGUGCCCAGAUGGGAUUAGCUAGUAGGUGGGGUAACGGCUCACCUAGGCGACGAUCCCUAGCUGGUCUGAGAGGAUGACCAGCCACACUGGAACUGAGACACGGUCCAGACUCCUACGGGAGGCAGCAGUAGGGAAUAUUGCACAAUGGGCGCAAGCCUGAUGCAGCCAUGCCGCGUGUAUGAAGAAGGCCUUCGGGUUGUAAAGUACUGUCAGCGGGGAGGCGUUACUCGCAGAAGAAGCACCGGCUAACUCCGUGCCAGCAGCCGCGGUAAUUC